ensembl:lncRNA
UGAUGGAAUGUAUGAGGUGUUGGAUAGGAGUACUGUUGAAGAGCAAGCAGCAAUGCUUGUACAGUAGUGAAAAAGUUACAGAUGGUAGGUCCUAUUCAGGGUUAGCAGCAGUACAAUAAUGUUAGGGAGGGUAAACUGUGCUGAUGCAAUGCAGUCAAAAGUGGCAUGCCACAUGGCAUAACCUACAUCUUAUCUGACCAUGUGAAACAUUAUUACGGUAUUGUACUGCUUUUAGUAGUUUCUAUUUAUUACAAGUAAGUUUAAUGUCUGAUUUUUAGAAUAUGUAAUUGCGGAAAUACUCUUUCCAUAAGUUACAUAUCCAAAGUCAUUUUAUUUUUUAACAUUUUCAUUUUAUCUCUUACUAGAGUGGCUCACGGUACAAGACCCUACCAAGGUCAUGUCUCUGUUUCGGGAAUCUAUUCUUAGCCAUCAUGAAAGUAAGAAUCCCUUACUUCUCAGCAUAAAUAUUAGAAAGAGCCCUGCUGAACAAGACGCUGUGCUCAUCUGCUUCUAUAAGAAGCCGAAUGUGGAAUGGGCAUGACCCUUGAAUUGCAGACUUGAAGGUAGCUUCAAUUUCAUGUCAAAGUAGUUAAAGCCUACCUUAAGUAUUGCUUUUCCCUUUUACUAUAUCAAACCCUCCAUUGUGUUACAGGUGAUGCAGCCAUUGGAGAGGGUGUGAGUCACUUUUUCCUCUCAACUUGCAUGAACAAGCUAAAGUCUGGGUUUUGCUUCAACUUUGCAAACACUGCUGUUACACAUCUCUUUGAUGGACAGCCAGGCCAUUUAGUGCCCUCAGCCUCUUAGUUUCUCGUGGAAAGUGACAUGUUCGUCAUGGCAGGCAGAAUGGUGGGGCACUCCUUUGUUCAUGGAGGACCAUUCCUGUCAGGGCUUAGCCCUGCUGUUGUGCAUGUCCUGUUUGGAGGAAGCCCGGAAACUCCAACAGUAACACCAGAGGACUGUCCAGACCUAGACAUCCAUGAAACUAUCAGGCUUCUUGAAGGGGAAUCUGAACUCUCAGACAAGGACAAAACAAGUGUCCAGGAGUUGGCCUACGCUUGGGAUCUCCCUGGCCUUACUGGAAAUAACCGAAGAUGGCUUUUUGAGAAGAUGUUGAUCCAUGCUGUAAUUGGACGUGUCACACGACAAAUCAAACAAUUCAGGCGUGGUCUUAAAGAGACACCAAUGUGGACAUUGCUGACCAAACGACCUGACACAGUGGCCCAGCUUUUUCCACAGGAAAGAGCAGUGGAUUGUAACCCUGCGAUGCAGCACAUCACCUGGCCUCAUGAAGAUGAUGAUGACGAAGACGACGAUUAUUCACUUGACACAAUAUGCCGCAUAUCAGGUUAUCUUAGCCACUUCAUUGAAAAUGGGUGGGAGAUUAUGCCAAGUAAUAACCUAUCCAGUGAGGUGGUUAAAGGCAGCUUCCCAACAGCCUCCACCUGUUUUGAGACCCUGCGAAUCCCAGGACAUUACAAGGGCUAUGCAUCCUUUAAAAAUGACAUCCUGGCUUGUAUUGGCACUUGCCAAACAGGAUUUGGUCUUGUGUAGGGACAAAGCAGUGGUGAAUAACGUUACUGUUACUGAAUAACGUUAAUGCUAAAUGUUUAAAUGAUUGCAUAUUAAUAUGCUAAAUUACGAAUACAAAGUCCAUUGUUAUGUUUUUUGAUGGACAAUUAUAUUAAAUGGCAUGCAACCUGCUAGCAAUGGCAAUGUAGCAACUUCAAAGUUAAUGUCCUUUUAAAAAAAGUUUUAAGGAAAGUUGUACAAUGUACAAAUGGAGUUAAGCACAGAAAUAUUUGGAUUAAGUAUAUUUUGCUGCCGCUGCUUUUCUCAGAUUGCUUCAUCAGUAUUGGUCUGC